rnacentral:rRNA from 1 species
UACGUAGGGUGCAAGCGUUAAUCGGAAUUACUGGGCGUAAAGCGUGCGCAGGCGGUUGUGCAAGACAGGUGUGAAAGCCCCGGGCUCAACCUGGGAACUGCAUUGGAAACUGGCGAGCUUGAAUGCGGCAGAGGGGGGUGGAAUUCCGCGUGUAGCAGUGAAAUGCGUAGAGAUGCGGAGGAACACCGAUGGCGAAGGCGGCAUCCUGGACCGAGAUUGACACUGAUGAGCGAAAGCUAGGGGAGCAAACGGG